AGAGUUUGAUCCUGGCUCAGAACGAACGCUGGCGGCGUGGAUAAGACAUGCAAGUCGAACGCUGGAUUGUGUGUAGCAAUACUCACAAUCCGGAGUGGCGUAAGGGUGCGUAACACGUGGGUAAUUUGCCUGGAAGCCCGGGAUAACUCCGAGAAAUCGGAGCUAAUACCGGAUGUGAUCAGCGACUGGCAUCAGUUGUUGCUCAAAGUCGGGGACCGCAAGGCCUGACACUUCCAGAUAAGCCCGCGGCCUAUCAGCUAGUUGGCGGGGUAACGGCCCACCAAGGCUAAGACGGGUAGCUGGUCUGAGAGGACGACCAGCCACACUGGAACUGAGACACGGUCCAGACACCUACGGGUGGCAGCAGUCGAGAAUUUUUCACAAUGGGGGAAACCCUGAUGGAGCGACGCCGCGUGGGGGAUGAAUGGCUUCGGCCCGUAAACCCCUGUCAUUUGCGAACAAACCUGGUGGUUGAACAGACUGCCAGCUGAUAGUAGCAGAAGAGGAAGGGACGGCUAACUCUGUGCCAGCAGCCGCGGUAAUACAGAGGUCCCAAGCGUUGUUCGGAUUCA
rnacentral:rRNA from 1 species